UUAGAAAAGCAUCAGAGAUGAAACUCAGCUAGAAAGUGACCACAAAGUAAUCCUUUGGAAUCUGUACCUGGCUCAGAGAUUUUCAGGGAGUAUUGAGCAACAAGUAAUAGUCCCAUAACCUAAAUUCAUGCAGCAUCCAGCAGCGCUGUCUCUGAGUGUUGGAAAUUGGUUGUUGCUGCAGGGAAAGCAAACAAGAGGGAGAAAACAGACUGGAAGAUGGCAGGAGAACGGCAAGAAACAAAGGCCAGAAGGAGCAGCAAGUAUUUUGUCACUGUAUCUAGCAAGGUUGUGAACAAAAAUAAAUAAAACGUUAGUCGUAAUGUGAAGGCCAUACUCUCUCUCUAUCUGUCUAUGAACUUCCCAAAGAUAUCAGAGCCACUGUGGAUUGAGGGAAGCAUGGAGUCCCCAAUU